rnacentral:rRNA from 1 species
AUGUUGAAGGCACAGCCGGCGUGCGGCCCGGUGCCAUCUGCACCGCCAGGACAAUGUCAAAGUUGUCGGCCCACAGCCAGGCUCCAUAUCCAACAUGUUGGCAUACAACCCCCGUGCCAUGUCCACCUCCAUGGCUUUGUCACCGGGGCCGCCGGCGUGCAGCCCGACGUCCUCACCAUCUACCUCAACAGUGCAACCGAUGAGCGGGCGAUGGAACCUCCACGGAGACGGCGGCGGGAACGAUCGGAGCUCGCCUGUGUAUGGUUGGCUGCUAGCUCUGCCCUCACACUACCUCGCCAAUUAUGA